AANGAAGGCUCUUGGGGUUGUAAACCUCUUUUCUCAAGGAAGAAUAUUGACGGUACUUGAGGAAUCAGCAUCGGCUAACUCCGUGCCAGCAGCCGCGGUAAUACGGAGGAUGCAAGCGUUAUCCGGAAUGAUUGGGCGUAAAGCGUCCGUAGGUGGCUGUGUGUGUCUAUUGUUAAAGAGUUUGGCUCAACCAAAUAAGGGCGGUAGAAACUACACAGCUAGAGUGCGUUCGGGGCAGAGGGAAUUCCUGGUGUAGCGGUGAAAUGCGUAGAGAUCAGGAAGAACACCGGUGGCGAAAGCGCUCUGCUAGGCCGCAACUGACACUGAGGGACGAAAGCUAGGGGAGCGAAAGGGAUUAGAUACCCCUGUAGUC
rnacentral:rRNA from 1 species